UGAUAAUUAGUUUAAAAAAAACAAAUGAUUUCGACUCAUUAAUUUAUGGACACACCAUAAUUAUCAA
rnacentral:tRNA from 1 species